rnacentral:rRNA from 1 species
GACGAACGCUGGCGGCGUGGAUUAGGCAUGCAAGUCGAACGGUAUCAUCCUUUCGGGGGUGAGAGAGUGGCGAACUGGUGAGUAACACGUAGGUUAUCUACCCUCAAGACGGGGACAACCCAGGGAAACUUGGGCUAAUACCGGAUGUGAGCAACUUUUAGUUGUUUGAAAGGUGGCGUAAGCUGUCGCUUGGGGAUGAGCCUGCGUCCUAUUAGUUAGUUGGUGAGGUAACGGCUCACCUAGGCAAUGAUAGGUAGGCGGCCUUAACGGGUGGUCGCCCACACUGGGAUUGAGAUACGGCCCAGACUCCUACGGGAGGCAGCAGUCGAGAAUAGUCUACAAUGGUCGGAAGACUGAUAGUGCGACGCCGCGUGAACGAUGAAUCCCUUCGGGGUGUAAAGUUCUUUUAUAUGUGAGCAGUGCUUCUUAUAUUAAACAGUAUGGGGAGAGAGAUAUUAGCAUAUGAAUAAGCAACGGCUAACUCCGUGCCAGCAGCCGGGUAAACACG